GGAGAGGUCGCAUAGCCUGGUCGAGUGCGCCCGCCUCGAAAGCGGGUAGGCAGAAAUGCCUCGUGGGUUCAAAUCCCACCCUCUCCG
rnacentral:tRNA from 1 species